AAGAUCGAAUGAGGAGAUUCAUCGUCWACGGGGUCGGCUUCCAUGCGGUACGCGAUGAUGUCGAGUCUUCGGGCUCGAUUCACGCUUCCGCUGUGGUAUGCGUCCGAUCACGUCGGCGUGCACUUCUCCUCUAGUAGAACGUCGCGACCCGCUGAGUGUCGGUUUAAGGGCCAGGAUCGUCGACUGUACCGUCGCUUCGGCGUUACGUGUGCAGACGCUUGGUCCCCCGAUCGACUGCUCGGCGGUAAACAUAAGGUAUCGAGCCGCACUCGAAUGCGUUCAGACUCGUUGCAAGCUGUGUCACUUUUACCCGGAUGUGCGGACCUGGUGCCGUACCUGGGAGUGAYCGGCUGYUGGUUGACGAUGUUCUCGAACCGGCUUACACUUGCUGUACAGCGAUACCGGUCGGCGACGC
rnacentral:rRNA from 1 species